AAAACAGAAGAUCAUAGUAGAAGUAAGAUAAUAUUGUA
rnacentral:guide_RNA from 1 species